CGGUCGGGAGGGGGCGGGGGGCGCUCCGGGGCAGGCCCCUCGGGGAGAUCCCGCAGCCUCGGCCCCGCCAGCCCGGGUGUCCCACGGGUCCCGCGCACCCGCACCGCGGCUGCCCCGGAAUGCGCUGCUUGCACAACUGUUGCGCUGCGGAGGGUGUAUUUUCCGCUUUUGUCCCCCUGCCCGGGGACCCCUUUCCCGUCUUCGUUUCCCUUUUACAUUUUCACCCUCUCCCUUGUCGACUUUGUUUUCAGGCUUAUUGAUUCAACAGAUAGGUGUCCUGCCCCUGCCCACGCGUUGGUGGGAGCGUGGUUGGUGGAAACGGACCGUGCUUCGGAGGCAAGAUCCAUCAGCCAUCGCACUCUGGUUCUGAUAGCCUCUGUGUAACCUUGGACAAGUUCUUUAACCUUGCUGAACCUCCGGUUCUUUGCCCUAUGUUUGGUUUUGGUUAUUUUGACUUAUGCUUUUAUAUCUGAAAUUGUUCUGGAUGUUUUGGUGUGUGUGUGUGUGUGUAAAAUUCUGUCCCUAGGCUAAGGUCACUCUUGAUCCUGUACACCAUUACCAGCUGUGUGACCUGCAGCAAAUCACCGCCUUCCUAUGCCUUGAUUUCCCCGUCUUUAAAAUGAGCAUGAUUACAGAUGAUAACUAAUAGUGAUAAUAACAGUUAUAGGUCUAAAUGCUAGACCCAGCUAUCCAGGGGAAUCAUUUGUCAUUCGUCUUCGAAUCCCCAGAACUUCACACACGGCAGAAGCAAAGUAUUUGUUGAAGGAAUGAAUUGAUGAAUGAAUGAGUAAACUCUCCUGGGCCCUGAGAAUUGACAGUCCUGUAUAUCUCCCUCUUUCUUCCUUCUUGACUACCUGCAGGAGGUGGCAUGAACUCACAAAAGAGCACAAGCUCGAGAGUCAGACCUGAGUUUGAAUCUCAGCUUUGCCACACUCCAUCACAAGACGUUGGGCAAGUUACCCAACAUUGCUCAGCCUCAGUUUCCUUGUCUGCAAAACGGAGCCAGUAGUAACCUCCCUGCAAUGUCUGUAGAGCGCCUGGUACCUGGGGGGUCCUCAAGAAAUGAUAGCUGUUGUGUUAUUCCUUUAAGUCAAGGGUAGGCAAACUGCAACCCAUGGGCCCCAUCAUCUUUGUAAAUAAAAUUUUAUUGGAACAGACUUUUUUUUA